GCUGGGCAUGGUGGCGCGUGCCUGUAGUCACAGCUACUCGGGAGGCUGAGGCUGGAGGAUCACUUAAGUCCAGGAGUUCUGGGCUGUAGUGCGCUAUGCCGAUCGGGUGUCCGCACUAAGUUCGGCAUCAAUCUGGUGACCUCCUGGGAGCGGGGGACCACCAGGUUGCCUAAGGAGGGGUGAACCGGCCUAGGUCGUAAGCGGAGCAGGUCAAAACCCCCAUGCUGAUGAGUAGUGGGAUUGCAUCUGUGAAUAGCCACUGUACUCCAGCCUGGGCAACAUAGCGAGACCCCAUCUUU
rnacentral:SRP_RNA from 1 species